GACGGAGGAUGCAAGCGUUAUCCGGAAUGAUUGGGCGUAAAGCGUCCGCAGGUGGCAGUUCAAGUCUGCUGUCAAAGACCGGGGCUUAACUUCGGAAAGGCAGUGGAAACUGAACAGCUAGAGUAUGGUAGGGGCAGAGGGAAUUCCUGGUGUAGCGGUGAAAUGCGUAGAGAUCAGGAAGAACAUCGGUGGCGAAGGCGCUCUGCUGGACCAUAACUGACGCUGAGGCGCGAAAGCAUGGGGAGCGAACGGG
rnacentral:rRNA from 1 species